GACGAACCGUCCAAACGUUAUUCGGAAUCACUGGGCUUACAGAGUUCGUAGGCGGUCUGGAAAGUUGGGUGUGAAAUCCCUCGGCUCAACCGAGGAACUGCGCUUGAAACUACCAGACUCGAGGGAGAUAGAGGAAAGCGGAACUGAUGGUGGAGCGGUGAAAUGCGUUGAUAUCAUCAGGAACACCGGUGGCGAAGGCGCUUUCUGGGUCGUUACCUGACGCUGAGGAACGAA
rnacentral:rRNA from 1 species